AGAGGUGAAAUUCUAGGACCGGUUCAAGACAAACUACUGCGAAAGCAUCUGGCAAGGAUGUUUUCAUUAAUCAAGAACGAAAGUUGCGGGCGCGAAGAUGAUCAGAUACCGUCGUAGUCGCAACUAUAAACUUUGUCGCCCAAGGGGUAGUGGUAGUUACAUGAUGACACCCCUAUAACUUUGUGAGAAAUCACAAGUAUUUGGACUCUGGGGGAAGUAUGGUCGCAAGGCUGAAACUUAAAGGAAUUGACGGAAGGGCACCACCAGGAGUGGAACCUGCGGCUUUUUUUAUCAAAUUAGGUCGUAAAAGUGGAUCUGAUAAAAAAAAAGGAUCUGCUAGUCACAAGGAUGUGUGGCGAUGUCAUCAAAUUGCGGGAAGUCCCUAAAGCUCCAACUACCAAGCACAUUCAGAAAUGAAGGUGUGGCCAGGGUAAUGACCUAGGGUAAGGUAAAAAUGUUGGAGAUACUACAAUGGGUAAUCUGCAGCCAAGUCCUAAGGAGAUUUAAAUCUCUAUGGAUGCAGUUCACAGACUAAAUGGUGACAGGCAUUUUGAAAAAAUAGAUCAAUUUGCUCAAGAUAUAGUCGAGCCCACUGUGAAAGCAGUGUCUACGUGGARGGAAAUGUGUAGAACAUCCCAUCUUUGUAUAAGAUUCUACAACAUGGAGAGCCACGUAGAAAUUUAACGUUAAAAUGUUAACGGUAAAUUGGGAAAUCUGUAAUUUGACUCAACACGGGGAAACUUACCAGGUCCAGACACAAUAAGGAUUGACAGAUUGAUAGCUCUUUCUUGAUUCUGUGGAAAGUGGUGCAUGGCCGUUUUUAGUUGGUGGAUUGAUUUGUGUGGUUAAUUCCGUUAACGAACGAGACCUAAACCUACUAACUAGUUAAUGGUAACUUGGACUCUAUCUAGAGACCUCAUAUUUAUCCAAACUUCUUAGAGGGACUCUUUAUACUUAGUGAAUGGAAGUUUUAGGCAACAACAGGUCUGUGAUGCCCUUAGAUGUUCUGGGCCGCACGCGCGUUACAAUGAAAUGCUCAAUGAGCAAUAACCCUUGCCCGAA
rnacentral:rRNA from 1 species